rnacentral:rRNA from 1 species
CCUACGUGCGGUAGCAGUGAGGAAUAUUGGUCAAUGGGCGGAAGCCUGAACCAGCCAAGUAGCGUGCGGGAUGAAGGCCCUACGGGUCGUAAACCGCUUUUGCACGGGGAUAAAACCCUCCCCUUGUGGGGGUCUGCAGGUACCGUGCGAAUAAGGGCCGGCUAAUUCCGUGCCAGCAGCCGCGGUGAUACGGAGGGCCCGGGUGGGAUCCGGAUUAAUUGGGCGUAAAGGGAGCGUAGGCGGGCGUUCAAGUCAGCUGUAAAAUCGCGCGGCUCAACCGCGCCCUGCAGUUGAAACUGGAAGCCUUGAGUUCACAACAGGCAGGCGGAAUUCGUGGUGUAGCGGUGAAAUGCAUAGAUAUCACGAGGAACCCCGAUUGCGAAGGCAGCCUGCCGGGGUGCGACUGACGCUGAGGCUCGAAGGUGCGGGUAUCAAACAGGAUUAGAUACCCUAGUAGUC